rnacentral:rRNA from 1 species
CUACGGGAGGCAGCAGUGGGGAAUAUUGCACAAUGGGCGCAAGCCUGAUGCAGCCAUGCCGCGUGUGUGAAGAAGGCCUUCGGGUUGUAAAGCACUUUCAGCGGGGAGGAAGGCGGUGAGGUUAAUAACCUCAUCGAUUGACGUUACCCGCAGAAGAAGCACCGGCUAACUCCGUGCCAGCAGCCGCGGUAAUACGGAGGGUGCAAGCGUUAAUCGGAAUUACUGGGCGUAAAGCGCACGCAGGCGGUCUGUCAAGUCGGAUGUGAAAUCCCCGGGCUCAACCUGGGAACUGCAUUCGAAACUGGCAGGCUAGAGUCUUGUAGAGGGGGGUAGAAUUCCAGGUGUAGCGGUGAAAUGCGUAGAGAUCUGGAGGAAUACCGGUGGCGAAGGCGGCCCCCUGGACAAAGACUGACGCUCAGGUGCGAAAGCGUGGGGAGCAAACAGGAUGAGAGACCUUGUAGUC